rnacentral:rRNA from 1 species
UACGUAGGGCGCAAGCGUUGUCCGGAAUUAUUGGGCGUAAAGAGCUCGUAGGCGGCUUGGCAAGUCGGGUGUGAAACCUCCAGGCUUAACCUGGAGACGCCACUCGAUACUGCCAUGGCUAGAGUCCGGUAGGGGACCACGGAAUUCCUGGUGUAGCGGUGAAAUGCGCAGAUAUCAGGAGGAACACCGGUGGCGAAGGCGGUGGUCUGGGCCGGCACUGACGCUGAGGAGCGAAAGCGUGGGUAGCAAACAGG